GUUAUCUGCUCAGGGCGAACGCUGGCGGCGUGCAUAACACAUGCAAGUCGAACGGAAAGGCCUCAGCUUGCUGGGGUACUCGAGUGGCGAACGGGUGAGUAACACGUGGGUGAUCUGCCUUGCACUCUGGGAUAAGCUUGGGAAACUGGGUCUAAUACCGGAUAUGAACUGCCUUUAGUGUGGUAGUUGGAAAGUUUUUUCGGUGCAAGAUGAGCUCGCGGCCUAUCAGCUUGUUGGUGGGGUAAUGGCCUACCAAGGCGUCGACGGGUAGCCGGCCUGAGAGGGUGUACGGCCACAUUGGGACUGAGAUACGGCCCAGACUCCUACGGGAGGCAGCAGUGGGGAAUAUUGCACAAUGGGCGGAAGCCUGAUGCAGCGACGCCGCGUGGGGGAUGACGGCCUUCGGGUUGUAAACUCCUUUCGACAGGGACGAAGCUUUUUGUGACGGUACCUGUAUAAGAAGCACCGGCUAACUACGUGCCAGCAGCCGCGGUAAUACGUAGGGUGCGAGCGUUGUCCGGAAUUACUGGGCGUAAAGAGCUCGUAGGUGGUUUGUCGCGUCGUCUGUGAAAUUCCGGGGCUUAACUUCGGGCGUGCACGGCGAUACGGGCAUAACUUGAGUGCUGUAGGGGAGACUGGAAUUCCUGGUGUAGCGGUGAAAUGCGCAGAUAUCAGGAGGAACACCCGAUGGCGAAGGCAUG
rnacentral:rRNA from 1 species